rnacentral:misc_RNA from 1 species
UUUCCGUAGGUGAACCUGCGGAAGGAUCAUUCAUAAUAAAGUGUUUUAUGGCACUUUUUAAAAAUCCAUAUCCACCUUGUGUGCAAUGUUAGAUCUCGUCAAUCUUGGCGAGAUUUUUAUACAUCAACUCAUUCUUUAACUAAUUUGUCUGAAAAAUAUUGUGAAUACUUAAUUCAAAAUACAACUUUCAACAACGGAUCUCUUGGCUCUC